rnacentral:misc_RNA from 1 species
AAUGAUGCAUAUGGCAUUCAUUAUCAAUGGAUAAACAUAUAAACCCACCUGUGUACCGCUCCUGUUGCUUCCGUGGGGCAGUGACCGAUGUCGCCACCGACGGAUGGCUCUGGCCAUCCGAGGGGAGUCCCCACGGGAGGUAUAACAUAAACUACUUGCAUCUUUAUGCUCUUAGUCUGUAUAUGAUUUAUAAACAUUA